GUGGGGAAUCUUGCACAAUGGAGGAAACUCUGAUGCAGCGAUGCCGCGUGAGUGAAGAAGGCCUUUGGGUUGUAAAGCUCUUUUGUAGGGGAAGAUAAUGACUGUACCCUAAGAAUAAGGUCCGGCUAACUUCGUGCCAGGCAGCCGCGGUAAUACGAAGGGACCUAGCGUAGUUCGGAAUUACUGGGCGUAAAGCGCGCGUAGGCCGUUGAGUUAGUUAAUUGUGAAAUCCCAAAGCUUAACUUUGGAACUGCAAUUAAAACUGCUCGACUAGAGUUUGAUAGAGGAAAGCGGAAUACAUAGUGUAGAGGUGAAAUUCGUAGAUAUUAUGUAGAACACCAGUUGCGAAGGCGGCUUUCUGGAUCAACACUGACGCUGAGGCGCGAAAAGUAUGGGUAGCAAAGAGGAUUAGAUACCC
rnacentral:rRNA from 1 species